AUUUUUUUUAAAAAAAUAGAUUUAAAUUUUGGCAGUAUUUCAAAAUUUUGAUAUAAAUUUUUAAUAUUUAAUAUUUAAUUUAAAUUUAAAUUAAUAUAUUAUAAAGAUAAUGUUAGUAUAUUAAUUUGAUUACGUUUUUUAUAUCCACCUGAACCAAAUACUGAUAAUGGGAAUGAUUUAUUCUGAUUCCGAUUCAGGUAAUGAACCAAACAAAAUUAGGUAAUGAGUCAUUCCAAUUCCGAUCCCAGUUUAUUUUGAUUCCGAUUCGGAUUCCAACUCCGACUUUGAGCCAAACACGCCCUAUGUGUAUUGACUGCUUUUAUUGCAAAUGAUAAAAUAUUUAAUAGUUGGUAUUUGACAUUUCAAAAUAAGCAUAAUUUUUUACAUUUUCAACUAAAUUUAUUUUUUAAAAAUAAAUAUAACUGAUAGCUUAG
rnacentral:lncRNA from 1 species